rnacentral:rRNA from 1 species
CUACGGGACGCAGCAGUGGGGAAUAUUGCACAAUGGGCGCAAGCCUGAUGCAGCCAUGCCGCGUGUAUGAAGAAGGCCUUCGGGUUGUAAAGUACUUUCAGCGGGGAGGAAGGGAGUAAAGUUAAUACCUUUGCUCAUUGACGUUACCCGCAGAAGAAGCACCGGCUAACUCCGUGCCAGCAGCCGCGGUAAUACGGAGGGUGCAAGCGUUAAUCGGAAUUACUGGGCGUAAAGCGCACGCAGGCGGUUUGUUAAGUCAGAUGUGAAAUCCCCGGGCUCAACCUGGGAACUGCAUCUGAUACUGGCAAGCUUGAGUCUCGUAGAGGGGGGUAGAAUUCCAGGUGUAGCGGUGAAAUGCGUAGAGAUCUGGAGGAAUACCGGUGGCGAAGGCAGCCCCCUGGACGAAGACUGACGCUCAGGUGCGAAAGCGUGGGGAGCAAACAGGAUUAGAUACCCCCGUAGUC